GCCCCCUUAGCUCAGUCGGUAGAGCGCUUCCAUGGUAAGGAAGAGGUCUGCGGUUCGAGUCCGCAAGGGGGCU
rnacentral:tRNA from 1 species